AGUUUGAUCAUGGCUCAGAUUGAACGCUGGCGGAAUGCUUUACACAUGCAAGUCGAACGGCAGCACGGGAGCUUGCUCCUGGUGGCGAGUGGCGAACGGGUGAGUAAUAUAUCGGAACGUACCCCGUCGUGGGGGGAUAACUCUCCGAAAGGAGUGCUAAUACCGCAUACGACCUGAGGGUGAAAGCGGGGGACCUGCAAGGGCCUCGCGCGAUGGGAGCGGCCGAUAUCGGAUUAGCUAGUUGGCGAGGUAAAGGCUCACCAAGGCGAUGAUCCGUAGCGGGUCUGAGAGGACGACCCGCCACACUGGAACUGAGACACGGCCCAGACUCCUACGGGAGGCAGCAGUGGGGAAUUUUGGACAAUGGGCGCAAGCCUGAUCCAGCCAUGCCGCGUGAGUGAAGAAGGCCUUCGGGUUGUAAAGCUCUUUCAGACGGAAAGAAAUCGCGCGCUCUAACAUAGCGCGUGGAUGACGGUACCGUAAGAAGAAGCACCGGCUAACUACGUG
rnacentral:rRNA from 1 species